GCUGAAGGUGAUUUAUGUCCAGUCUGAUCAUGGGUUUUCAGCUGUCCAGUGAGGACUACAUGGGAUUUGCACAGUCUGCCACUGUGGGGCAGUUGGAGCUCAAUGCAGGUGUGUAUUGAUCCACUACAUAUUCUCAUUAAACACAUGAAAAUCUGCAGACGCUGGAAAUCCAAGAUUGUCUGCCGGGUGUCAGUGGUCGCUUAAGUAAAGGCUGAUUUAUACUUCUUCGUCAAACGGACGCCAUAAC